rnacentral:rRNA from 1 species
UACGUAGGGACCAAGCGUUGUUCGGAUUUACUGGGCGUAAAGGGCGCGUAGGCGGCGCGACAAGUCACUUGUGAAAUCUCUGGGCUUAACUCAGAACGGCCAAGUGAAACUGUUGUGCUAGAGUGCAGAAGGGGCAAUCGGAAUUCUCGGUGUAGCGGUGGAAUGCGCAGAUAUCAGGAGGAACACCAGUGGCGAAGGCGAUGCUCUGGGCCGGUACUGACGCUGAGGAGCGAAAGCAUGGGGAGCGAACAGG